CCCGAGAGCACAGCGCGGGAGCCACUGAAGGAGUCCAUGGGCGCCAGGCCACCAUCGGAGCGCAUGAACAGCACCUGCACGUCCUGUGGGCAGGCAGCACCUGUCAGCACCUGACAGAACACGGCUGCACGGGAGCAGGGAUUUCUCCCACUUUUCGCUGUCCUGCACGGCUCGGUGAGUGCAGCCUGCGGGUCCCUGAGGAGACCCCCACGGCCCUGGCCCACGCACCUCUUUCAGCAUCCCUGAAGUUGAUGGUUCUGCGCCGGGGCAGGCGGGGGCUGGCGGUCACCUCGGCCAGGAGCCCGGAGCUGCAGAAGCUCAGGCCGAUGCCCCGGUUCCUGAGCACCAGCUUCAGCUCCUCGUUCUCCUGGAUGAGCUGCACGAGCCGCCGCAGCUCUUGGUUCUCCUGUGCCAGCCGCUGGAUCUCCUGCUGCAGGCCCUCGUAGCUGCUGAGGAGGGACAUGCCUGGCAGCGGUGGGCGGCAGCUGCCGGCAGCUGGCGGGCUGGCCAGGGGCAGCAGACCCUGCCAUUGUGAGGUCAGCACUGCCCCUCAGCCGCAUUCCAGGGCUUCAGAGCACCUGGAGCAGGGCAAACUUAACCUCUGACCUCUGGCCCCCUGAGGGUUGAAUGGCUAGAGGAGCCCAGACCUGCUUCAGGCCUGGAGUCCCCCUAGGAAGCUCCUCCUGGAGGACAGAAGCUUCUGCAUCCUAGCCCAGGAUGGCGGUGUUGCAGGUAGAGGGCUGCGAGAUUCAGGCAUCCUUCCCCACCCAUCUGGCCACCCACUGGCCACCAGCUGCUCGUGCCAUGUUGUGGGGCUGGCUGACUGGGCACAGUCCCAGAGGCGGUCGUGGCCAGCACAGCCUCUGAAGGGGUCGGGAGAGUGGAUGUUUGAGCUGCCCUGAGGGAGGGGGCAUCUCUGGCCCAACAGCAAGGGGGAGCUGGACUGUGGAGGCGAAGGUGGGUCAGAGCUUGGGGGCGUGGGGUGAGCCAACGGAGCACCUCAGGGCAAGGCUGGAGGCAAAGUGGUCCUGCUGCUGGGGUGGUAGGGAGUGUCACUGUCACAGGGAGGACGAGGCACCACAUUCAGGGCCACACCUCAGGGCAUGGGCGCGGAGGGCAGGGAGCAGGGAGGCCCCAGGAGACGUUGAGGACAGCAGGUUCCUGGGGGCAGGGGGGCCGCCUCAAGGACAACUGGGUUUACACUUGAGAUCAUAUAAAGGACUUCUUUCCUUCGCCCAGUCUGGUUUCCAAUGGGACGGCUCUGUGCAGUUGGCAUUAUUUUGUGUCAUUUCUUCCAUCAUGAUUAUUGUUUGUUUCACAUCGUCGUUUCCUUUUUGCGGGUCUGCUGUUUCCAGUUGUUAACCAGUAGUUUUCCUGGGAUUUGCAUGUCAUUUCCCCACUGCUCCAGGGUGACACGCUGGCAGGAAGUUCUCGCCAGUGCUGAGCAUGGGGGGACAGUCCUGAGAGCAGUUUCCGGGAGACUGGGGAGCAGCCACACUUAAUCUCGAUGGAAGUGAUGUCAAUUUUAAUGGUUUCUGUGCGUCCAGUUCUCAGUCCUUGGACUCUGACCUGGCUUUCUGCCUUAUUUUGACUGGAAGAACGUGGUGGAAGUGACAGUGUUCCUGUGCCGAGCCGUGACCUUGAGAGGCCUGGCAGGGGCAGGAGUUCCAGGAGUGACCCUGUCACUCUGGAGACUGUCACUCUGGGCGUGCAGCAGUCAUUCGUGGAGGUCUACUUCUUGGUAAGAAGAGCGGGACCUGCCCCUCCCCACCCUGCUCUGCAUCAUGACAGCUGGGCUCCGAGAGGCUGUGGCCAAGAGCACGGGGCGCCCUGGGCUUGGCUCCAGCCGAGGGCAGAGGAAACUGGGAGAGACGAACUGAGAAGACGAGGCCUCCCCCGCAACACCCGCGGGUCAGGGGUAUCUCUGGGAGGGGCAGGCUCCCACCCGCCCCAGCUCCCCCAGACCCCAGCCAGCGGUGAGGGAGUGAGACGGAAGGGCGAGUGGCUCCACAGCGUAGCUGAGCAGCUCCUCGGACGCUGAGUGUGGUGUUGGGGAGGAUGGUGGAGAUCCUAGUGGUGAGAAAUUAUUAAGGAGCUCAAACAGGACUUUCCUGGCAGUCCAGUGGUUAAGACUCCCUGCUUCCAAUGCAGAGGGCAUGGGUUCAAUCCCUGGUCGGGGAGCUAAGAUCCCACAUGCUGCACUGAGCAGCCCCCCCCCCAAAAAAAGCUCGAACACGUUACCACAAAUCCGAAGGCUUAGAACAACAGACAUUUAUUCUCUUCCAGUUCUAACGGCCGGAAGUCCAAACGGAGUCAUCUGGGCUAAACUCAAGAUGUCAGCCAGGACGGUUCCUUCUGGAGGGUCCGGGGGU